GAUGAACGCUGGCGGCGUGCCUAAUACAUGCCAGUCGAGCGAACGGACGAGAAGCUUGCUCCUCUGAUGUUAGCGGCGGACGGGUGAGUAACACGUGGAUAACCUACCUAUAAGACUGGGAUAACUUCGGGAAACCGUAGCUAAUACCGGAUAAUAUUUUGAACCGCAUGGUUCAAAAGUGAAAGACGGUCUUGCUGUCACUUAUAGAUGGAUCCGCGCUGCAUUAGCUAGUUGGUAAGGUAACGGCUUACCAAGGCAACGAUGCAUAGCCGACCUGAGAGGGUGAUCGGCCACACUGGAACUGAGACACGGUCCAGACUCCUACGGGAGGCAGCAGUAGGGAAUCUUCCGCAAUGGGCGAAAGCCUGACGGAGCAACGCCGCGUGAGUGAUGAAGGUCUUCGGAUCGUAAAACUCUGUUAUUAGGGAAGAACAUAUGUGUAAGUAACUGUGCACAUCUUGACGGUUCCUAAUCAGAAAGCCACGGCUAACUACGUG
rnacentral:rRNA from 1 species